AUUGCAUUCGGCAGUACGUAUACUGAAAUCGAAACGGUACAAAGAAGAUUAGCAUUGGGAAAAGGACGGCACGCAAAAUCAUGAAGCGAUUACAUUGAUU